rnacentral:rRNA from 1 species
CUACAGGUUUUCACCUAGCUACGGCGAGUGAAGCGGGAAGAGCUCAAAUUUGAAAUCUGGUAGCCUUCGGUUGCCCGAGUUGUAAUCUAGAGAAGUGUUUUCCGUGCCGGCCCAUGUACAAGUCCCUUGGAACAGGGCGUCAUAGAGGGUGAGAAUCCCGUCCUUGACAUGGACCCCCGGUGCUUUGUGAUACACUUUCAACGAGUCGAGUUGUUUGGGAAUGCAGCUCAAAAUGGGUGGUGAAUUCCAUCUAAAGCUAAAUAUUGGCGAGAGACCGAUAGCGAACAAGUACCGUGAGGAAAAGAUGAAAAGCACUUUGGAAAGAGAGUUAAACAGUACGUGAAAUUGUUGAAAGGGAAACGAUUGAAGUCAGUCAUGCUCUUGGGACUUACCUCCCUUGAGUGGGGUCAACAUCAGUUUUGAUCGAUGGAUAAAGGCACUAGGAAGGUAGCACUCUCGGGUGAACUUAUAGCCUAGCGUCAUAUACAUUGAUUGGGACUGAGGAACGCAGCAUGCCUUUUGGCCGGGAUUCGUCCACGUACAUGCUUAGGAUGUUGACAUAAUGGCUUUAAACGACCCGCUUAAAAACGGGGGACCAAAAUAAUGGGGUUUUU